GGUCGGGUCGAGAGAGCCUAAUAAAAUACCUUCGGGAAAUAAGCUCCGCCGUCUGAAAUCGGUAGUUGAAGCCCGAUCAACCCUAC
rnacentral:ncRNA from 1 species